rnacentral:rRNA from 1 species
GACGAACCGUACGAACGUUAUUCGGAAUCACUGGGCUUAAAGGGUGCGUAGGCGGCGCGACAAGUUGGGUGUGAAAUCCCUCGGCUCAACCGAGGAACUGCGCCCGAAACUGUCGUGCUCGAGGGAGACAGAGGUGAGCGGAACUUAGGGUGGAGCGGUGAAAUGCGUUGAUAUCCUAAGGAACACCGGUGGCGAAAGCGGCUCACUGGGUCUCUUCUGACGCUGAGGCACGAAAGCUAGGGUAGCGAACGGG